CUAAUCCUGAUGUGUACGUUGAAAAUCCAAAUGUUUUGACCGAACAUUUUAAAGUCGGGAGCCCAAUGUUUUCUUGAGGAUUACAUGCCCCACUCGUUUGAGGACUUAAGAGUCAAGGGACAGGGCACCCACCUGCCUAGAGCGGGUUCAAAACUUUCUAUUGAGACGGCACGAUCGGGAUUAUC
rnacentral:other from 1 species